GAUAGUCAAAUAAUUGCCUUUUUUCAAAUAAUGUCCAAUCGGAAUUAAAUUGGUCCAAUUUUAAAUUGUUUGACGUGCUGAAUUCAUUGAUAGCUUUGCAUCAUCAAUCCUACAGCUAGAUCAUCUAGAAAACGCCCUAGAAUUAAGCUACUGCUUACCCAUUUAUUACUUAAGUUUUCCAGCAGCUGUGGAGGUUGCUACUAGUCAAAGAAGGAUGUCUCCAUGGUGCUAAGUCCAGCGCCGUCAAAGGGAGACCAUAUAGGCAUUGAUGGUGGCUAGACUCGUUCUUGGGAACUCGUGCUGUGUGGAUCUCUCUUCCUUUGGCUUCGCUUCAUUUCACAAUCCCAAAUGGUUGCUGGUCAUUGUUGCUCGUCAAGAAAGGAAGGUGCUAAUUAGCCGGAGUCUAGUAGGUGGCUUCUUGGGCUGGUUUCUUCGCCGGCCGGGGUAGAGCAAAAUGGGCGAGCCUGGUCUUCCAGAAAGAGCUAUACAUGGGGAAGGAGUAUAUAUUUUACUUACAAACUUAGUUUAAGUCCAAUUUAAUUAGCAGUGAUGCUAAUGACAAUUAGACUAAUUUUAAUUAAAUUUAACUGCAAUAUUAUUUAUUUUUUAUUUAGUCAUUUACUUAUUUUAGUAAUCUUCACUCGUCGAGAAUCUUAAUAUUUCGUUUCCAAACUAAUAUGGGUGUUACACAAACAAUUGAUUAAUUGUGAGUCUUUCAAUUGUAUCAUUUAUUUUUAUUCUAAGAUUGAGAGUAAGAGUUGUUGAAAGAGAACCGUAAAACACUGUUCUUGACUUUCUCUUUUGAGUAAGGUUUUUUUU
rnacentral:misc_RNA from 1 species